rnacentral:rRNA from 1 species
UACGUAGGGUGCAAGCGUUGUCCGGAAUUAUUGGGCGUAAAGAGCUCGUAGGCGGUUUGUCGCGUCUGCUGUGAAAACUCGGGGCUUAACCCCGGGCCUGCAGUGGGUACGGGCAGACUAGAGUGCGGUAGGGGAGACUGGAAUUCCUGGUGUAGCGGUGAAAUGCGCAGAUAUCAGGAGGAACACCGGUGGCGAAGGCGGGUCUCUGGGCCGUAAGUGACGCUGAGGAGCGAAAGCGUGGGGAGCGAACAGG